CAGCAAUUUCGAGAAUGUUGACUUUAGUUAACUUGUAUUUAUAAUAUUAUUACAUUUAAUACUGCUAAAUAUUAUUAAAAAUUUUAAUUAAAUAUAAUAUAAUUGAGUUUUUUAUCGUUAUUCACAAUUUUUCAAUUUUUCGCUUAUUCAUCGACAGCUCUAUUAAAAGCUUGAAAGCCGUUUUAUUACACAACGGAAAUAAAUUUUCAUCCCUUCCAAUUGCUCACUCGGUACAUUUGAAAGAAAAUUAUGAUAGUGUUAAAAUCUUGCUUGACGCAGUAAAAGCGGAUAUACCAAGUUUCCGUGCUAUCAUGGGUAUGGGACAGCAGAGCGGAUGCUAAGCACUACAUUCAGCGGUCUUGGCCUGAAAGAACCGAAUUUUGUAUCGGGAAACAAAACGUAAAAUUCAGUUCUAUUGUGGAAGCAGAAAAAGUGUUAUUGCCACUUCUCCAUGUUAAGUUGAGAUUGAUCGGAAGCAAAGGUUAAAGCUGGGAUUUCUGUUGGUCCACAAAUUAGAAAAAUUUUCGCCGGUGAAUAAUUUCCAAAGUUGCUAACUGGCAUUCAAAAGGCAAGUUGGAACAGUUUCAAAGCAGUAGAUUCUGGAUUUUUAGGAAAUAAUAAAGCUAAAAACUAUGAAAAGUUAGUUGCAAAUACAAUAUGUUAACAAAUUUUAAGGCAAUGGGAUACAGAAUGUCUUUAAAAGUAUAUAUGCUACAUGCCCAUUUAGAUAAGUUUCGGAACAACAUGGGAGCGUAUUAUGAGGAGCAAGGAGAGCUCUUUCAUUAGGACAGCAUGAACUUUGAACAGCGAUAUCAGGCCCAAUAUAAUGAAAACAUGAUGGGAGACUAUAUUUUCGGUUUAUAAAGAGAAAGCACUAAUGAACACAAAAAAAAGCAAAACUGUACACUUUUAACUCAUUUUCUGUUCUUUUGUAAGUUAUUUGAAUAGUGAAACUUAAUAAAAAUUAUAAAUACAUUUA